GAUGAACGCUGGCGGCGUGCCUAAUACAUGCAAGUCGAGCGAACAGACGAGGAGCUUGCUCCUUUGACGUUAGCGGCGGACGGGUGAGUAACACGUGGGUAACCUACCUAUAAGACUGGGAUAACUUCGGGAAACCGGAGCUAAUACCGGAUAAUAUUUCGAACCGCAUGGUUCGAUAGUGAAAGAUGGCUUUGCUAUCACUUAUAGAUGGACCUGCGCCGUAUUAGCUAGUUGGUAAGGUAACGGCUUACCAAGGCAACGAUACGUAGCCGACCUGAGAGGGUGAUCGGCCACACUGGAACUGAGACACGGUCCAGACUCCUACGGGAGGCAGCAGUAGGGAAUCUUCCGCAAUGGGCGAAAGCCUGACGGAGCAACGCCGCGUGAGUGAUGAAGGUCUUCGGAUCGUAAAACUCUGUUAUUAGGGAAGAACAAACAUGUAAGUAACUGUGCACGUCUUGACGGUACCUAAUCAGAAAGCCACGGCUAACUACGUG
rnacentral:rRNA from 1 species